UACGUAGGUGGCAAGCGUUGUCCGGAUUUAUUGGGUUUAAAGGGUCCGUAGGCGGUUUGGUAAGUCAGUGGUGAAAGCCCAUCGCUCAACGGUGGAACGGCCAUUGAUACUGCCAGACUUGAAUUAUUAGGAAGUAACUAGAAUAUGUAGUGUAGCGGUGAAAUGCUUAGAGAUUACAUGGAAAUACCAAUUGCGAAGGCAGGUUACUACUAAUGGAUUGACGCUGAUGGACGAAAGCGUGGGUAGCGAACAGGAUUAGACUACCCG
rnacentral:rRNA from 1 species